GACCUCCCAUCACGGUACCCUCGGGACCCGGACCGCAAGAGCUGUCGGCCCCAGUUUCCCUCCCGGAAGUGGCGCGGGGGUGACUCUCGCCGUUUCCGCCGCCGAGGGGGCGGGGCUGGGGCUGCCCUGCCUUUGCGGUCGCGGUCGCGGGCUGAUGACGCAGGGCGCCGCGUGCUCCCCCACGUGUGCUGCAGUUCUCCCGGCGUCUGCGGGGCUGCCGCUUCGGCUUUCCCCGGGGGCGUAGUUGCUGGCGCUUGCCGCGCGCGACCUCCGCGGCUCGGGGGNUGGAGGUGGCGGCUGCCCCGCUGCGCUUACUCGCUGCCAAGAACGAGAAGAGCCGUAGCGAACUGGGCAGGUUCUUGGCCAAACAGUUCGGGCCCGCAGACACGUAUUGACUGCGUUCCUGCUUCACGGGAGGCAGCCGUGCGCUUCUGUGAGGACACGGAGACAUCCGUGACGGUCUCUGCCCGCAGCGGACUAACUACAGCGUCUGUUUUUGGAGACAGUCGGUCAACACAGAAAACAGCCGAAGGACGAAGCAAGACAGCGAGUACGAACUGUGACGACAUUGACCAUAUGCGUUAGGAGGUGAAUUAGAGUCUUCUAGGAAGUGGGUGUUUGGCCUUUUAAGAGCCUUCUCUGGACUCCCUGCUGUCUGAGUGGAGGACCUUUAUCAUGCAUUUUUUUUUCACGUUGCAUUUUAAUUUCCCUUUUUUAAGGUUCCCCACCCCCAAUAUCUUGGAGCUUCUUGAGAGUAGAAAAUGUGGGUUUUUUUUUUUUUUUCCCUUCUAACUCCAGCAUCUAACUUAAGUCAUUCAUGCGUUGUACACAUACACAUGGCAUUGCUUAGGGAGUAACGGGAGUAUUUUGGGUCUGGAGCAGCAGAGAAUUGACACGAGAGGCGUUUCUGUUUGGUGACAACAAAUUGAAAGUGUAAAGUUAAGGGACGGAGGAGUCAAGAUAGCCUGGAAUUUCUGGCUCCUGAGACCCAGUGAAGGGGAAUCCCUGAUCAAAUGGUGAGCUGUAGAAAGAGAACCGAGUUUUGAUGGGUUGGACUAAGGAAGAGAGAAUCCGUUCGCGUGAGCUGAGCUUUUCGUCACAGGCUCCUGAAUUAUGUUAUGUUACUAUGUUAUGUAUUGUCGCUAGAGGUGUUUUUCUGUAAGUGGGCUUUAGAAUUCAAAGCACAGGUUCUCAUUCCGGGGAUCAUGAACCAGCAACAGGAGAUUGAUGAUGUUUCCUCACUGCUGUUGUAAAAUGUAAAAUUGGUGUUUAUGUAUUGG
rnacentral:lncRNA from 1 species